CCUCCUAAGUGGUGGGAUUAAAGUUGUGUACUACCACCACCUAAUCUGUAUAGCUUGAGGCUGGCUUUGCUUUUUGAAUCCUCAGGCAAGCUUUAAUAAAUCAUAAAUAAUAUACCACCACAUAACACUGUUGUCAAAAUGGAGCAUUUGUGAUGUCACAAUUCAGCCAUGUGAUAAAACAAUGGAACACUGUGGUAACACAAUGGAUCAUUUUGAUGUGAUAAUGCAGCCCUGUGAUGGCAUAAUGGAGCUUUGGAAUGUCAUAAUGCUGUGUUACAAAAUAGAUAGGUGAAGUGUUGGGGGUAUGAGAGGAGAUAAAGGGGAGGGAAUUGAGUGGAUUUAGUCAAGACACAUUGUAAAUGUAUAUGGAAUUCUCAAAUGAAAAAGAAAAGACAUAGAUAGGCUCUUCACAUAAGGCCUUUUAGUUGGAAAACUUCUAAGAAUUUCUUGAAUAUGCUAAGGGAAGACAGAAGUAAUGCCAAAUCAAAAAAGGGACCAAAAAGAAAAACAAAUAUUUUUUCAUGAAAAGCUAAUGACUGGCUUAAAACUGAAUGGCUUAGUUACUUAAAUUUAAAAUUUUUUAAAUUUAAAAUUUUCUAGUUUUUUUUUUUCUUACUGUUUGGAAUUGUAUUAUAAACCACCUGGAAAUGCUCAAGUGCUUUUUUGCCUGCUUGUAUACUGAUCCUGGGAACAUGGAAGAACUCUCAACUCCUUCUCCAGCACCACAUCUGCCUUCGUGUACGCAGACCUCUGAAUUGACUUCAUCCUUUGGGCAGCCAUUCCCACGAGGUCUGAUUUGAAUCCGUUCUAUGAAGCUUGGAUGGAUAACGCCUGAGACUAUUCCGGCACAUCUACACUUUAAGUUUGUGUAAUUGGCCUCCAGGAUACCUUGGUAACAUGCCAACAGCUCCCCUCCUAGGACCCUUCCAUUCUGUUUCUCACACAGCAGUGAGAUCAGCUUCUCCAAAUGAAGGAUUCUGCUUCAAAGGCUUCCCAUUGUUCAAGUGUGAAGACAUCCUUGUGUAGACCUUGCUGUUCUCAACUUCAUCUGCUGUAUUGGCUCUGGCUGUCCGGUUUUCAGGCAUGCUGAUUUGAAGAAUUGAAAAUCACCCUGCUGGAGGUCUGAAGUCCACAGGCAUAGUGAGAUAGGGAAACAAUGGUUGUUUCAUGGCAAGAAGACAGUUUCCUCCCCAGCCUUGCUGCACGGGAUACUUGGAGUCUCACUAACUUGCUGCAGAUCACCACUUGACUCAGUACCAAUUCCUCCAUCACAUCUUAACCCCUUAUUGCUUGGAUAUUUGCCCCAUGCCAGACCCUGUGAAGACAGAGCACUGACAAGAAAUCCAAGCCUGUUGGUUUCCUGAACUCCACCCCUAGAAGACUGAAGGAUGCUUGCCAUACUGGCAUGUGAGAAAGUGAUCUGUCUCAGUGGUACCUCUUCUUUCAGCAAUUUGUUUUACUGUCUUCUCUUUAGACAAGCUCUAAUGACAACAAGCACACUGCUCACAGUGGGUCGAUUGUUUGGCUGAUCUUAUGUUUUGGGGAAGUGUUGCUACCAAGGCCUUGCUUCAAGCUCAAAGCAUUUGGAGCAGCUGCAUUGAUUCAGAUUUCCCGGGGCAGGAGGAACCCUGAAGGAUCAUCCUGUCUCUUGGCAAGUCACUUUCCUUUGUAACCUGCUUAUCCAGUUUGGACAGCAUGAUUACUGUCAGCAUUUAAGGUAAGAAUGAGUAGCUCCUGCCUCUUGAAAGAAAUCUAGGCCAGGUCUUAUGACUUUCCUGACCACCUCUGAAAUAUCCCCAAAGACGCCAAUAUUUAUGCAGAGUAGGAAUGAGGUCUGGGCAGGAAUCUUAUAUCUUCUCUUCCUCAUGUUCUCUUCAUGGAAAUUGACACUAUUAUCUUCAGCUCUUCAUCCUGCAGGUCAAGUCAGAGCUUUUACUCAGCUUUCUUCCUGGCUGAAAAUCACCAAAGCAAUCAAGUAGCAUUGUCCAAUUGAUGAAUAAACAACUGGCAUCCAUGGAAGAAUCCAGUAGAGAAACAAUGCUCGCCCUGGACUGACAGAAAACCUGAGGAAUUGAUGAACUAGCAAGCCCAGGUGCUCAGAACAAAAUUUCAUUGAUGCUACCAGAGAUCAUGCUUGAUAGGCUACCAACGAGUGAAAGAUUUCCACAUCUGUGGGAGGAAGAUGUCUUCAGCAUUGUUUUUUAAAAUACAUGGACAUUUGGGAAAUGAGAAUGUAAAGCCUCUUCAUGUUUCCAGUCUGGAAAACUAUGUGCAAAUAGUGGACACAUUUGUCCCAUAUAUCUUCUCAGUCUGAAAUGAUAAAUAUGCAAAUACUAUUCUAUGGUAUGGCCUGAGUGCAACUCAAAGUCAUGCAGAUGCUUACAUUGUUGCAUCUACAGAUUUUAUUAGGCUGACAUACUUUGCUACUGUUUUGGCCAUUGCUUUUCUUUUAUAAAUUUGUGACUUAAAAAUCAACCCCAAUUCUAGGACAAAAAUCUUCCUAACAAGUGUUAGGCUGCCAAUUGUAAUCUCUUCAGUCAGCAAGAAACCUUCCCCUACAGAUGGAAAAUGAGUUGUAAUUGAUGAAUUUUGAGAAACUACUUCUUGUUUUUUUUUUUUUUAACUAAGUUCUAUUAUUACAGUUUUACAAAUCAGAAAAAAAACCAGACAUGAAAAUGUUAUAAUUUGCAUUAUCUUGGUGAGAUUAUGAAAAUACUCCAGAGUAUUGGAAAAACUGUUUCCUAAUAAGGAAAGCAGAUAACCAUCUUAACAUAAUGUCAACACUUUUUAUUCAUUGAGUUUAGAAGUCUGCUAAACCGAAAAAAAUAAAAGUUAAUUUGGGUAUCACAUAAUAUUUUGGACAAAGUUGUUCUUAAAUGAAAGUGUUUUGUCUUCCCAUUAGAUAGAAGUGAGCCUUUGUUUCCUGCUAAGGGAAAACAGCAUAAAACUUGUAAGAUGUGCAAUAGAAUCCUAACAAGUGGCACUGCUGUAAGUGUGACCAUAAAGCAGUUAUAGCUCUCUAUAAUCACACUGUAGUCAUAGUAAGUCACAGUGGAUUACUUAAAAGUAUUAAAUCACAAAGCACAGAAGCCCAAGUGGAAUCUAUGACUUGAAGAAGCAUGGUGUUGUGGACUUUUCCAGGGGAGAGGCAAACACAUAUCUACUCACCCCAGUUAGGGCACUAAUGACAGAUCAAAGAAACAAUUCCACUAAAUCCUAACUUCGUGAGUCAACAAGUUUAUUGAGGUUAAUUACAAGAUAAGCUAUACUACAAAAAAAGCUUUCAGGCAAAUUGACAGGUUGUAGAGUAACCUCACUCUAGCAGUCCUUAGGACUUAGCUUUCGACCCCACCUGGGGGAGGGACAUUUUUGAUUCUUGUAAAUUUCAGGACUUUUGAGACUUGUGAGUUGUUUACUUUCUGGGACCUGUAAAUUCUACUUCCAGAGUUUUAAUGAGCUUCCCUCUAAGAGAGACUGUUUCAAAUUGGGAGAUAUUUCUAUAUGACACACGAACGUUCAGACAGCUCACUGGAACCAUUGCAUAGGUUGUCUGUCAUUCCAGGAAAAGAAUAUAGAAAGAAAAAAAAAAGGAAAUGAGCAGCAGGGAAUCAUGGAAUUGGCUUGGUCUGACUGCCACAUGUCAUGAUGUUUAUAAGGUUUGAGCAAGUGGCUCCUGGGGCAUUUUUUGUGACUUUCAUUUCCUGAGAACUAGAGGCACUCCCUCAGACAGUGAAGCAUACAGCAGGCCACCUAUGUGUCUCUCUGUGUUCCUUCGAGGUCAGCAAAGCAUAUAGAACUUGGCUGAACAAUUAAGUGUUAGACAUUAAUCUUGCAUACCCUGUCUAGCUUGCAACCAACAUUAUAUCAUAGCAAUUGUCAUUAUUUUCUGCUUUGAUAAGUGUAUAAAGUGUCUUGAAAUAAACUUAUCUCAGUCUGUCUUGCUGA